CGCUGGUGGGCUGGUGGGAGACCAGCUGGAGGCCGGGCAGGGGCCCGGGGCAGCACAUGGCAGCGGCUCUGGGCCCGGGAGGCAGUGGGCAGGACUGGAGCGUGGACAGACCCCCGGUGAGCCCGUGAGGGCCUGGACUCGUAUGUGCACGAGCACACGGGGAGGCCGUGCAGGGCUGGAUCGUGGGCGACCCCCAGUGAGUCCAUGAAGACCUGACUCGUACAUGCACGAGCACACGGGGAGGCCGGGCAGCAUUGGAACGCGGGCGGACCCCUGGUGAGUCCAUGAAGGCUGGGUGAGUACGUGCACGAGCACACGGGGAGGCCGUCGGGGGCGCUCACAGCUCCCCGCGGGCCUGAGGCAGCUCCCCCAGCACGUCCUCCAACUGGAAGGGGGCCGGCUCUGACCCCCGACACCUUGGCUGUCGCUCCUCCAGGGCCAGGCUGCGCUCGGCGGCCACCCUCGAGGCAGGGCAGGGAGGUGAGGGCCCCAUGGGAGGAGCGCGUCUGUGGCUUUGCCCGGCCCUGGGCACGCCCGGCUCACCCCAGGAGGCAGAACCGGCCUCAUCACACCUGCCUCUCUCCCCCGGCUUCUGGUGCCCCAAGUUCUCCAAGCCGUGGUCCUGGUCCCCCUCCCCACCUUCUCCUGUUUUAUUUUAGUGACCUGUCGAGACAACUCAGCAGAAGUUUGGUUCUUGAAUCUCUGUACCUGUUGAAUAAACAUUGAGCCCAGGGGACGCCUUUGAUCUCCCAUCUCUGCCAGAUGCUUCGACAGCCUUGAUCUUCUGGGAACCUCCCCCACCCCCAGGGGAGGCCUGCUCCUCCCUCCUCACCCCGAGGACUCCCGUGCUGUUGCUGAGUCACAUCCUACUUUGGAGCCUGGCUCAGGCCUCGUCUCGGUGUCAGGAGGGUGAGAGCCCUCAGGAGGAUUUGCAGGGUCUCUGUCCCCUGUGUGGGUCUCUGGCAGUUGGGGUUCCCCACCACCCACCCCGAGUGCAAGGGUGUGAUGGCCACCUCUCCAGUUCCAGAGCCGACCUUGGUCUCCAUGGAGACACACAUCCUGACCGAGUGCUCACCAAGGCUGCUCUGGGAAGUCUGACUUUCGUUUUCCCUUUCAAGGAUUCUCUUUUCAUAAUCACUUUCAAAGCCCCUGAGGGGGAGACGUCAGCCAAAAGCUUUAAAGGAGUGACUUGUCCUAACGCAUGCUCAGUCCGGGUCCUGUCUUCGCUGUCUCCGAGAGGGACCUGCUCAUCUGGGUACAGAAGAGUGAUGUCAAGCAGAUCAUGUGUCCAGGUCCAAGGGGACCAAACCGGAGAGCUUGAGCUCUGAGACCACAGUUUGGAGACAGUUGAGCAUCGUGUGCUUCCGGGCAGGAGGCUCACUCUCUGUAAAGGCAGCAGGUGCAUCAGGCUGCAGCCUGGGAAGUGGGGCUUCCAGGAAAUGGAGCACCUCCUGGUGUUAGACGCAAAGUCGGCCAAUAUUUUGAGUCCUUGCGUGAAGAACACAAGGGAGUUGCUGGCCUCGGCGGCUCGUCUGGUCAACAUGUAAGCUUUCAGGGCAUAAACGUUGCCUCCAUGGUGAAGUUUGUUGGGGUUAGGGGCGGUGCUGACAAGGGCGGUCACGUCUCCCUGCUCACCUGUGAGCUCUGUUCACCCUGACCCACAGCGGCAUACGGGCUGUGGCUGCUGGAUCGAGUGGCUCCACGGCUCUCGGGGGUCAGAUGGGGGCUCUCACAGCCCCCACCUCACGUCUGAGGCCAAGAUGGUGACCACAGCAGGUGGCGUUUAAGUUCUCGUCUCUUCAACAACGACCAAAGGGUUGUAAUGAUUUGUGCCCCGGUGGGCAUCGGCCCAUGUUGCCUGUGGCUCUGUCAGAAAGUGAUUGUGUGUGUGUGUGUGUGUGUGUGUGCAUGUGUGCAGGGGCGGGGGGUUGGUGCCCAUGCAACUGGAGAGGCCAGUUUUUGCGGACUAGAGGCCAGAAUUUGCGGACUGACUAACGCACAGUGAGAAUUCCUGUCUGGUUCCAUGACUCAGAGCUGGGAGGAAGGACACAGAGGCAUGAGGAUUUCAGGACCUGGGACAGGGCAGCCUUGAUAUCAGGGGCCUCACUGGGUCCGCAGGGAGGAAGGGAGUGACAGGCAGAGGCCACAGGAACUCUUAACGGGUGCCUCUGAUGGACGCGGUGGGGAGUGGCUUGUCUCAGAGUCAGGCUGACCUGGACGUAAACGGAACUCCUCAGCUUACUAAGCUGCAGCCUCUAGCAACUGCCCGCCCACCCAGGCCUCAGCUUCCGCC